rfam:Glarea lozoyensis 74030 unplaced genomic scaffold M7I_scaffold19, whole genome shotgun sequence.
GGUUUCAUGGUGUAGGGGUUAGCGUAAGUUUUCACUCGAAAGAUGUGAUUAUUUAUGUGUUCCACAUCCUGACAAUGUAUACAGACGAUAGAUUCUGAUUCUGUAGACUCGGGUUCGAUUCCCGAUGAGACCU